GACGAACGCUGGCGGCGUGCUUAACACAUGCAAGUCGUACGGUAAGGCCCUUUCGGGGGUCCACGAGUGGCGAACGGGUGAGUAACACGUGAGUAACCUGCCCACAACUUUGGGAUAACGCUAGGAAACUGGUGCUAAUACUGGAUAUGUGCUCCUGCUGCAUGGUGGGGGUUGGAAAGCUCCGGCGGUUGUGGAUGGACUCGCGGCCUAUCAGCUUGUUGGUGGGGUAGUGGCCUACCAAGGCGGCGACGGGUAGCCGGCCUGAGAGGGUGACCGGCCACAUUGGGACUGAGAUACGGCCCAGACUCCUACGGGGGGCAGCAGGGGGGAAUAUUGCACAAUGGGCGCAAGCCUGAUGCAGCAACGCCGCGUGCGGGAUGACGGCCUUCGGGUUGGAAACCGCUUUCAGCAGGGACGAAGCUUUUUGUGACGGUACCUGCAGAAGAAGCACCGGCUAACUACGUG
rnacentral:rRNA from 1 species